rnacentral:pre_miRNA from 1 species
GCUUAUGUUAUAAACGUCUUCCUUGAUUUAGUAUCGGAAGAUGUUUUUAAUGUAGGCUUC